rnacentral:rRNA from 1 species
GUGGGGAAUAUUGCACAAUGGGGGAAACCCUGAUGCAGCAACGCCGCGUGAAGGAUGAAGGCCUUUGGGUCGUAAACUUCUGUUCUAAGGGAAGAUAGUGACGGUACCUUAGGAGCAAGUCCCGGCUAACUACGUGCCAGCAGCCGCGGUAAUACGUAGGGGGCAAGCGUUAUCCGGAAUUAUUGGGCGUAAAGAGUACGUAGGUGGUUUUCUAAGCACGGGGUUUAAGGCAAUGGCUUAACCAUUGUUCGCCUUGUGAACUGGAAGACUUGAGUGCAGGAGAGGAAAGCGGAAUUCCUAGUGUAGCGGUGAAAUGCGUAGAUAUUAGGAGGAACACCAGUGGCGAAGGCGGCUUUCUGGACUGUAACUGACACUGAGGUACGAAAGCGUGGGGAGCAAACAGGAUUAGAAACCCUAGUAGUCC